rfam:Capsella rubella cultivar Monte Gargano unplaced genomic scaffold scaffold_1, whole genome shotgun sequence.
AAACAGGCUUUUUUAAAAGCCCAAUAUAAAUUAAAUGGCUUAUUA